GAAAUAUCUACAAUCUAUAAGACCAUUCUCACCUCCCCACUCUCUCUAAACUAAAAACACAGAGAACUUAUAUUCUCAAACACCACAACUCUCUCUCUAUUCUCUCUCUCUAAAACUCAAAACCAGACAUUCCCAUCUUCUCCUCCAUUCUUUAUCAUUCCUAACCCAAAAUCACACAAACAAACUUCAGAGAACAACUCCAAGGGUCAGACCUCACAACACAGUCAAACAUCAUCACUCUCACACCCCUUCCUUUCUCUCGAUCUGCUGGAACCGACAACCGGAGCCGGAACCAGCGCUCCGACGAGUCUUCCGACCGGUGAUUCGACAACACACAACCCUCACCUCACCUCACAGCCCCUGAUGAACAUCUGACGGCGGCGACGGUGGUUUGGGUUCGACACACACUUGGUUGUUGUUAUGUUGGAGACAGAACGAGGAAAAGAGACUGAGACGGGAGAGAGAGAGUGACCGGAGCAAGAAUGGAGGUGGCGACCACCACACGCGGCGGCAGCCGGCGGUGCCGGUGGCUGUGGUGGUUGUUUUGCUGCCUUUUCUGCUUGAUCUCGGGUCCAACAGUCUCGGUUCGGGUUCGGUUAGACCCAGUCAAAUCAGCAGCUUCGUUAUGGGUACGGGUCUCGACUCAGUCUAACUCAGUUCGACUCAGUACAUUUCGGCUCGACUCAGUCCAACUCGGUUCGACUCGGUACAUUUCGGCUUGACCCGGUCAACUCGGUCAAGCCUAGUCAACACAGCGAGUUGACUCAGUCAACUCAGCCGGUCAACUCGGUCAACACACUCGGCGUUUCGACAUGAUGAUUUGGUAAAGACAUACGGCGCAAUUAUUUCAUUAGUUUUAUAGUUUAUGUCACGUGAUAACGAGCUCGAACCGACUGAUUAUAGUUUACAUUUGAUAUAUAUUUGACAAUAUUACAUAUAGUUUAAUUGAA